GCUGGGUGCAGUGGCCCACGCCUGUGAUCCCAGCAACUCGGGAGGCUGAGGCAGGAGGAUCACGAAUUCAAAGCCAGCCUCAG
rnacentral:sRNA from 1 species